GCCUCGAUAGCUCAGUCGGUAGAGCAGAGGAUUGAAAAUCCUCGUGUCGGUGGUUCGAUUCAAACAACUUUUUGUUG
rnacentral:tRNA from 1 species